rnacentral:rRNA from 1 species
AGAGUUUGAUCAUGGCUCAGAUUGAACGCUGGCGGCAGGCCUAACACAUGCAAGUCGAGCGGAUGACAGGAGCUUGCUCCUGGAUUCAGCGGCGGACGGGUGAGUAAUGCCUAGGAAUCUGCCUGGUAGUGGGGGACAACGUUUCGAAAGGAACGCUAAUACCGCAUACGUCCUACGGGAGAAAGCAGGGGACCUUCGGGCCUUGCGCUAUCAGAUGAGCCUAGGUCGGAUUAGCUUGUUGGUGAGGUAAUGGCUCACCAAGGCGACGAUCCGUAACUGGUCUGAGAGGAUGAUCAGUCACACUGGAACUGAGACACGGUCCAGACUCCUACGGGAGGCAGC